rnacentral:lncRNA from 1 species
UGUGGCUCAAGUGGUAGCGCGCUCCCCUGGCAGGCAUGAGGCACUGGGUUCGAUCCUCAGCACCACAUAAAAAUAAAAUAUUGUGUCCACCUUAAAAAUAAUAAUAAUGUGUAUGUGUAGUUUCACCAAACAGCCUUAAAAAAAAAAAUGGUGCCGCUUUCUACUCCCAUCCCUGACAAAAACAUGUUAAUAUUUGUAAGUAAAUUUAGAAUGACUGAUUUAGAGAAAACUCAGACUACAAUGGCAACAAUAAAAACUGAAGUCUUUGGAGGAAUCUGUAUGGUAAGGGCUUCCCUUUGCCACAAUAGAUGGACAGAUGGACGCAGUACCAACCAGAACCCAGCAAGGGGGCCUUUGCUUCUGCCUUUUCCCCUAGAAGGUUACAAUAUUAUUGUGAAAUUCAAGGAAUGUAAAAGUGGGUAAGGGCUGAGGGUGUGGGUAAGGGCUGGGGGUGUGGCUGAGGGGUAGAAUGCCUGCUGAACAUGUCCAAGGUUCCCAGCAGCAACACACGCACACACAGAGUGAAUAGUUAGCAGGGAUGUUAAACAGUAUCCUGAAAAAGAAGAGAGCAACCUGAGUGGAUAGAAGUCAACUUAGAGGAGGAGCCGUCUGUGCUGGCUCAUGGUUGCGGGCUGCAUGGCUUGGACCUGUGGUGAGCCAGAGCACAGUGGCCGGGUGUGUGGUGGAGCACAACUGUCGGCCACGGCAGCCAGGAAGAGAGAAAGACAGGGGCCAGGGACAAGGUGUGGUCCCCCACGGCGUGCACCCAAGGACCCAUGUCCUCCAACUAGGUUCACCCGCUGCAGUCCCACCACCUCCCAAUAAUCCAUUCAGCGGUGAGUCCCGGGAGCCAGCCCUCAUGUCCAGUCACUCUGAGCAUUGCUGCCCCGGGGAAGAAGUCUUCAACACACGAAACCCUGGGGGACAUUUCAGAUCCAGCCAUAACAGCCAGCAGCGUGUGCGCCACAGCAGGGGACUCCUGAGGCCCACAGGCAGGCGUGUCCGCCAGGCUCCUGCCCUCCACGGCCCUGCAGCUGCUGGCUGGGCGCACCGCGGUCCCUCCCCACACCUAACUGUCCCUGUGUGCCGUUUCUCUGCAGGCCCAGGCCUUGUCCUCUGCCAGCAAGUUUGAAGCCGAGUUAAAAGCUGAGCAAGAUGAGCGGAAGCAGGAGGAGGAGAAGAGAAGGCUCCGCCAGGCAGCCUUCCUGGAACUCAAGGCUGCUUUCAGCGCAUAGUCCAGCAGACCCUGACCUCCGCCCACAGCGGUGCCUCCACGGUGCCAGGAGGGAUGGCCCAGCAUCUUUACCCCUGCAGGCCCCUCCCAGCCUCCUGCCUGGCCUCAGGCCUCUCCUCAGCCUCACUUGGGUGGCAAGGGGCUGCCGCCCCCCCACUGUCCUGCCCCUGCAAGAGGGUCAUGGGAUGGCCAAGUCCCCCUUGCUCACCUCUCUGCCCUCCCCUGAAGCCGGGUUCAGCCUUCCCCUUCCCUUGCUCCACGCCAGUGAGUAGCCUGUUGUGCUCAUUUGUAUAGAAAUUCUUUCUUUUGUGGUCCUCAGAGGACAUGUUAGCUCGCCAUUUUCUUGGGAAAUCCUUCUCUCCUCCCAUUUCUGUUGUCUGUCUUGGUCAGAUUCUGCCAGUUGCUUUUGUGUGGCCUUCUGUAGUGGUGGCAGGAUCCAAGGAGGCCAGGUGGACCACUGCCCACCCGCUCUCCAGCACGGGGAGCUGCAGCAGGAGAGGACUCAGCAUAAAGACCGGGAGCACUGGCCUGCAGCACCCCCCUGGCCCUCCCUCUUCAUUCCCCUCCUCCGUGUCUCCCUCCUUCUGUCUUCCACACCUAAGUGCCUGCUACUCACCUGUGAGAAGGAAGCCAUCACUAGAAGUACUGCUAAUGAGUAGAGGGGUUCCAGGUCAACUCUAACUCUGCAGAUCAUAUUACAGUGGACCCCUCAGGUUCCCACGAGGUCGGGGACUCAACCAGUGCCUUUUGAAAUCCCCAAAGUCAUGGCCAUCCUCUCCAUCGAGCCAAUUUCCAACAUCUGCUUCAAGGUAUUGAGGUAAAUAUGUUCUUACCCCUAUGAUAGAUUUUUAUAUUUGUGAGUUCUUGGGAUUGCUCACACGGACCAGGGUCUUGUUGUAUUUUUAAAAAGAAUAUUUCCUAUUGUCAUAUUUAUUACUUCACUUUUGCAACUUCUCUCUUUAGGGUAAAGAAACCAUCUGCAUUUCUACCUUAAAGCUCUUUCUUUUUAAAUAAACUGUGCAAAUGAACUUGGCCAUCACAACAAUGUACCUGAGUCUUC